GUUUGAUAAUAUGGCAUAGAUAACAAAACUUUGGCAAAAAUUAUGAACAGGGUUUUUCUUAAUGGUCAUACUUCUAUUCUUAGGAACUACAUAUUUUGGGCUUUAGACCUGGACAAUGAAUCCUCAAGUAUUGGGACCUAGGUAACUAUAGUGUAUGUGAGAUAUAAGGUGUGGGUGGGUGGUCUCCCUUCCUCUCUCUCUACUUAAAAAAAAAACAAAACAAAAAAAAAACAAAAGUUCAAACAAAGACACUGUACCUAGCAGGACAAAUCGGUACGAGCUGCAUCGGGCCGUGCCG
rnacentral:lncRNA from 1 species